GGAUGGGUUCCCGAGCGGCCAAAGGGGGCAGACUGUAAAUCUGUUGUCAUCGACUUCGGUGGUUCGAAUCCACCCCCAUCCA
rnacentral:tRNA from 1 species